UAGCGAAUCUCCCACAAUGGGCGAAAGCCCGAUGGAGCAACGCCGCGUGUGUGAUGAAGGGUUUCGGCUCGUAAAACACUGUUGUAAGAGAAGAAUGACAUUGAGAGUAACUGUUCAAUGUGUGACGGUAUCUUACCAGAAAGGAACGGCUAAAUACGUGCCAG
rnacentral:rRNA from 1 species